UUUUGACCAUAUUUUGGUUGUUAAUACGAUUUAUAAGGUCUCUUAAUUCAAAGGCUAGCUUUAAUACAAAUUCUACCCUGAAGUAGUUCAAUUCAAACUAGAAAUAAUUAAGUGGAUAGUAUAAUCAAUUGGGCUCUAAAUAUUCUUUAGACUCCCGGCUUCUUGAUGAGUCAAUCUUUUAAAAUCAUUCAUUGGAUCUGACUAGCGACAAAUGGAGUUGUUUAUUUGAUUUCUGGCAACGGAAUGUCGUUUCCUAUAUUACUUUACUACUGUUGCUUAUGGUUGAACAUCUGACUAUAUUACUUGACCACUGUUACUUAUGGUUGAACAUUUGAUGAAACAUAAAUUUGCACCUUCAUAGUUGUAGGAGGGGGUGUAUAACAACAAUUUUGUGGUGUUGACAUCAAUGGUGGUAUUUACUGAAAAGUAUGGGAAAGUUGAUAAUUUUUUUCAAUGUUUUAAUGAAUCUUUGUACUUUACUGAUCCUAUAUCACAUUUAUACACAUGUCAGCGUUGAUUAAAGUAGGUAGUUGAUCAAAGCUUUUCAUCUUCAGAAGCUGUCAUUUUUAAUUUGAAAUUUUUGAUUAUAAAUAAACUGAUUUUGAGUUCACAUAUGCAAGGGGCAGAGGAGAUUGUUUUUCCAACUAGAUGCUAAGUAUAGUUGGACCUGCCAUGUUGUAUGGGGCGGAGUGCUGGCCCCGGUGGAUGAGAAGAUGCGAGAAGCGAGGUUGAGG
rnacentral:lncRNA from 1 species